CUAAUAACCAUGAACUCAUAACUCAUUCAGUUCAAGAGUUUUCAAAAGACCCACAUCAGGACUGGAUAAGUCUGUAUUCCUACGUGGUUGCAUUGUGCUUAUGCCAUGAAUGAUGUCAGAUCCAGAAAACAGAAGCCAAUGAAAACAGCAUAUUCUACAGCUACAAGUAAAUACUGUUCCUCUAAAUGCUUCUACACUCCUAACAACAUAUUGAAAAAAAUGAAAUAAUCAUCUCUAACUAGAGAGGUUUUCUCAGAAUCUUCACUUACUUUCUCUAUUUAUUUACCCAUUCAUUCUCAUUAACAGCUCUCAGAGUUCCGGGAUGCCACGAAGGAAAUGUAACAGAGUGCUAUUUGAAAAUGGGAUUUAAUACCAAGGCUUGACACUAAGAAGGAUGAUGGUGUGAGAUGGUUAGCAUAUGUGACACUACCGGCUGAAAGCAGAGGCAUACAAUUUCUCCUGACAAAACCACAUCUACUACAAGCAGGAAGAAAGUUGCAUGCUACGCCUGAUAACUUCCUGAGAUCACCUUCCUGCACAUGUAGGAAAAAUCUUUCAGGUUGUGGAUCAAGUAGAUUUAAAACAAUCUUGGCUUCAUUUAGAACAUCUUUGCUUUCAAGAGACACCCUACAACAUAUUCCAAAGUCCAGUCUUUUAGUGUUUGCAAAUAUUAUUUGUUAAUUCUAUGAAGCUUUUAUUGUAAAGAAACAAACAAACAAAAUAUUUAAAUAUUGUGUAGAUUUGUUUGGAGAUCAGAAUAGUAAUGUCUAUGUGUAUGAAUGAUUAUUAUAGAAGUAUAAACUACUGAUAAAAUAGAGACAGAAUUUGUGCUAUCAGCCACAGUCAUCCAUUUUGUAAUUAUGUAAUUAUCCAUUUUUGUAAUUAUUAAAAGAUAACAUUACAGUAAGAGUAUCAGUGUAUGGGUUUCCAUAUUUCAGAUAUAUAGUUGCAAGUCUUGUUCUUUAUCAUGUAAAUGUGCAUUAGCCACAGGGAAUCUG
rnacentral:lncRNA from 1 species